rnacentral:tRNA from 1 species
AGGGAUGUAGCUCAGUUGGUAGAGUGCUUGCCCGCAUACAUGAAGCCCUGGGUCCAAUCCCCAGCAACACAC